rnacentral:lncRNA from 1 species
ACGGAGCAAUCCUUUAUUUUUAGAUACCUUCGCAAAGGGGCUUUUCAGUGCGUGGCAUCGACCUGGAAUCUUGUGAGGCUGCUCAGCACUCUGGAUUGUCAUCCAGCGGUCUAAGUCAAGGCCUAGCCUUUUCUGCACAUCAAAGAAAGGCAUGGCUGAAAUGGAAGGGGGGGGAAGAAAAAGAAAUGAUACCAUAUAAGUGCAAUCAAAUGAGAUAUUUCUAAGAAAAAUUAGGUAAUUAUGAUAGUCUUCUAGAAAGAGGUUUUUUUACUCUUCUCCCUAUUUCUUCUCACCAAGCUUUUUCAUUACAAAGGUUCUUUCACUUUACAGUAAGUGAGCA